GGGGGUCCCCGGAGCUCGGUCUCGAGGGUGCUUAUUGUUCGGUCCGAGCCCGGGUCUCCCUCU
rnacentral:pre_miRNA from 1 species